CCCUUAGAUGUCCUGGGCCGCACGCGCGCUACACUGAGUGUCUGAGAUACGAGUCUGCCUGGUCCGGCAAGGUCUAGGUAAUCGCUAAAAGACACAUCAUGCUUGGGAUAGAUUAUUGCAAAUAUUAAUCUUGAACGAGGAAUUCCUAGUAAGCGCAAGUCAACAGCUUGCGUUGAUUACGUCCCUGCCCUUUGUACACACCGCCCGUCGCUACUACUGAUUGGAUGUUUAAGCGAGGUUCUCGAACUGCUAGCGACUUAGCUUCGGUGAGGUCGCAGUGUGGGAAGUGAACCUAGCUUUGGUGUCGAGAGGAAGUAAAAGGCGUAACA
rnacentral:rRNA from 1 species